rnacentral:rRNA from 1 species
GACGAACGCUGGCGGCGUGCUUAACACAUGCGAGUCGAACGGUAAGGCCCUUCGGGGUACACGAGUGGCGAACGGGUGAGUAACACGUGGGUGAUCUGCCCUGCACUUCGGGAUAAGCCUGGGAAACUGGGUCUAAUACCGGAUAGGACCACUGCCUGCAUGGGUGGUGGUGGAAAGCUUUUGCGGUGUGGGAUGGGCCCGCGGCCUAUCAGCUUGUUGGUGGGGUGAUGGCCUACCAAGGCGACGACGGGUAGCCGGCCUGAGAGGGUGGCCGGCCACACUGGGACUGAGAUACGGCCCAGACUCCUACGGGAGGCAGCAGUGGGGAAUAUUGCACAAUGGGCGCAAGCCUGAUGCAGCGACGCCGCGUGAGGGAUGACGGCCUUCGGGUUGUAAACCUCUUUCAGCACCGAUGAAGCGCAAGUGACGGUAGGUGAAGAAUAAGCAUCGGCUAACUCCGUGCCAGCCGCCGCCGUAA